ensembl:lncRNA
CCACCCCAGGUGCUGGGCCCAAGUCGGGGAGGCCCAGGUGACUUCCUGCCCCUCCCUUCACCUCACCUGUUUGUGCUCGAAGCCGGUCAGGGUGGGUCCUGCCAACAAGAUCCGCCGGAACGCGUGGUUCUUUCUCUAAUGCUCGAUGGAUUUAUUAUUUAAUAGCAGAGGGACGUACGGCUGUUGUUUUAAUCGCAGGGUUUUAUUAGAAACAAGCCUUUCCAUUGCUCCUUGUAGAGCCGGUUGCAAUCAUGAACCACGGCUCUUUUAGGAUGGCAUGCGUGUGUCCCUCUUUUGGAUUUUCGGGGACAAGCCACACCCAAUUCCAGGCUCUGCUCAGGAUGCUGUGUCCCGAGUGAUAUGCAGGCUCUUCCGGUGUGUGGGGUUUUUGUUUCUCAGUAUUCACUAGAGUAACCCUCUGGGACGGGCGCUGUGCCCACUUUACAGAUGUGUUCUCCCCGAGGAUGCUAACGUGUGGGACAGUAUUUGAUCAGCAGCAGGGCUCCCAGGGAAGUUAACCUCCCUGCCAGGGACUUGGGCCUACAGCCAUAGUCUCCCUCCUCGUUCCUGUUUCCUGUUGGGGGACACUGGCCCUGUCCCAUCUGCUCACCUCUCUGCCUGAAACGCUGCCUGAGCACAGGAUUUAAAACACACAGUUUUGAGCCGGAGCGUGUGGCGCAUGGAUGGCUCACAGGUUUUUGGGAAAAUCCUUUGCCCGGCCUGCAGAACCCUCCUGUCGCCUGGGCGCCCGUGUUUCUACCUCCAAGUUUCGGUGAGGACAUCACUGUGCAUCUACAACUUCAAAGACACGUUGGUGAUGAAAACCUGGGAUUUGGGGAGUUUCGACUGCCCCUAACUUCGUUCAGUGCAAACCCAGUUCUGCCACCAUCUGGCUUCGCGAUGUUGGGUCUGUCACUUAACUUCUGAGAGCCUCAGCUUCCUCAUCUAUAAACAGAUGGGCCCUCGGUCUUUGGAUCACCGUAAGGAUUAAUGCGAUAUUGUGUGAGCUGUGUUCACACAGCUGGGUGCUCAAGAAAUGCUGAGAGCCAUACUUGCUGGGAUUCCCAGUGCCCGUGUUUAAACACCCGGCGUGGUCAGAGCCUCGGAUAUGCCCACUGAGCCCCUGACACACGAGGAGACGGUGGCUGCCAUCCAAGGAGAAGCUGGCAGGGACAAGGACUCGCGUCCCCGGGGCUGGCCGCUCAACCCUGCCUCUUGGUGUGAACACAGCAAUUACUGACGUGAUUGCAGUAGAAUUUUCACCUAAUUACAGCAAAACAUGAACAUCCACCCCUUGGAGACAAAACCCACAAUUAACGGGGGGGGGGGGGGGGGGGGGGGGGGCGCCAGUCAGUCCCGCACUCCCCGUUCUGUAAGGCGCUUGGACCUGGAGGGGAGAGCCCCCUUCCCCCCACAGUUCUUAAUUGACCACUAAACAUUCAUCUCCGGGAAGGUCCCCUAAUCAAGAGGCCCAGAAAGUCACUGAUGGCCUAGCUCAAGGAAGGGUGAUAAGAGGACCAUGAAUGUGGCCCCCGCCACUCCCCCAGACGUUCUGGGGGACUCAAUUUGGGCUUUUGGGACCUGCCUUCUCUUGCCCCUUCUCGGCUGAAAGGCAGUAGUGAUUUCAGAGCCUUCAAAGACAGCUCUUGGCUAAAUUAUCUGUGCUUAGCAAAGAACUGACGUGACCCAAAGGAAGAUCUGGCCUUUGCCUUCAGCUCCCGGGAGGUUAUCUCUAAGUCCCGGUAUGUCCUGGCCGAUAAGAGCCUCUGUUUACCUGGGGACCUUGUGCAAUGCCAGACAGCGAACUAUGUGAUUUAUGGUGGAGGCCUGGAGCCACACGGUUUGACCUCUGGGGAGGC